GACGAACGCUGGCGGCGUGCUUAACACAUGCAAGUCGAACGGAAAGGCCCUGCUUUUGUGGGGUGCUCGAGUGGCGAACGGGUGAGUAACACGUGAGUAACCUGCCCUUGACUUUGGGAUAACUUCAGGAAACUGGGGCUAAUACCGGAUAGGAGCUCCUGCUGCAUGGUGGGGGUUGGAAAGUUUCGGCGGUUGGGGAUGGACUCGCGGCUUAUCAGCUUGUUGGUGGGGUAGUGGCUUACCAAGGCUUUGACGGGUAGCCGGCCUGAGAGGGUGACCGGCCACAAUGGGACCGAGAAACGGGCCAGAAUCCUAAGGGAGGGAGGAGGUGGGAAUAUUGCACAAUGGGCGGAAGCCUGAUGCAGCAACGCCGCGUGCGGGAUGACGGCCUUCGGGUUGUAAACCGCUUUCGCCUGUGACGAAGCGUGAGUGACGGUAAUGGGUAAAGAAGCACCGGCUAACUACGUG
rnacentral:rRNA from 1 species